rnacentral:rRNA from 1 species
CAGUCGCCACGGUAAUACGUAGGGCGCAAGCGUUGUCCGGAAUUAUUGGGCGUAAAGAGCUCGUAGGCGGCUUGUCACGUCUGCUGUGAAAUCCCGGGGCCCAACCCCGGGCGUGCAGUGGAUACGGGCUGGCUAGAGGCAGGCAGGGGAGAACGGAAUUCCCGGUGUAGCGGUGAAAUGCGCAGAUAUCGGGAGGAACACCGGUGGCGAGGGCGGUUCUCUGGGCCUGUUCUGACGCUGAGGAGCGAAAGCGUGGGGAGCGAACAGGAUUAGAUACCCGUAGUCCCUGUCUCUUUACACC